CGCAGCGGUAACGUCACUUCCUUUUUCACGGGGGGCUCGGCUCGGCAUGGCAUGGGCAAACCUCAUGUUCCAUCUUCCCUCAGGGGAAUGACUUCAAUGGCCGUGCUUCUGUGUCAGCAAGAGCACAGCUGUGGUCCUAAUCAUUAGCUCAGAAGCACAACCUUGAGUGAAAAGAAAGUCCUAGAAAAACCACCCCCGACAGUGAGGCUGUGAUGAAGACAAAUCUCCCAGCACCCACAAAAUGUUUGAUUCACUAAAUACUCCUUUUCAGUGCAUCCUCAUGAAGGGCCUAAUGUCUGAUCCUGAAGUGCUGAGCGCGGGAGUUGGGGUGUUUGUGGUCUCAGGAUCUGGCUUUUGGUUUCAGCUUACAAGUGAAUUUUUGCAUCCUGUACUUAUGGACACUUGGGAUCUUAGGCUAGGAAUGAGAGAGAGAGAAAAGGGAGACGGAUGGUGCUUCAUAAACAUUUCUAUUGCAGUGGUGAUUGGACCAAUUUUGCUGUGACCUAUUGGCUAUUCUCUGGUUGCUUCAAUAUUGUGCCCAGUGGAAAUGGCUCUGUGGUCACUGUGUCCAGAAAGCCCCCUUGCUGUGUUCUCAUCACCUGGGCAAAACUGUCCAAUGGCAUUCUCACACACAUACAUACUUUGUUGAGUUCAGCUGCAGUAGCCUGCAAGGGUUAAGAACAUAAGUGGGUUUUUUUUCACUUAUGUUCUUAAGAGUUGGGACCAAGUCUUUUAACUUUGUGCCCCAAGAUGGAACAGUCUGAGGCAGCAUAAAAUGGAAGAAUGAUGGUCAUAUUGAGCUGGGGGAAAAAAACCUCCUCUGCAAAAUAUGAAGACCGGAUGUAUCUUGCCCUCCCCUCAAAUGUUGUGAAGCAGCAUCCCAGGUUUUCUCAAAAAGAAAAAGGAUACUUUAAAUAGCUCAUCUCCAUUGGGUUCUCUUUUUCACACACUGUCCUGGCACCAGAAAAGCAGCAAAGAGGGCCAGGGAAUCUACAGAGCACACUGCAAAAUGCCCCUACAUACAGUAUACGUUCAUCCCCAGCUGCUCCUUCAUAGGCACCAGUUUACACACAUACACACACAUUGGAAAGGUUACUAACUCAGUUCUAUGUGUCCGUCACAAUUGCUGGCUGCAUUUACAACUGUCUCGCAACACCACAAAUAACCGAACAAAACUAAGAAAGGCCAGUUUAGGAAAGAAUUCCUUCCUCCCCCCAACUUGCAAAGGAACCCACCUGAGCCAGGGCAAGCCUGAGCAAACAGGUAAGUCCUGCAACAUACCCUGCAGGUCAACAAAUUAGCUCUGUCAAAGCAAUGGAGGAAUUGGAUUCCAGAGCCAAGGCCACUCACCCCACUGAUAAAGCCCUUCUUCCAGCCCCCCGAAAGGAAUUCAGACCUGGGGACUGCUAGUAAUAUGUCCCAGCUGAUUUCAGGUGGUGGGAUGAUGCAUAAGGAGCAAGGCUGUCCUGUGCUGGUAACAGAGGAGAACAUGUUCACAUUUGUGCUCCCUCUCUGUCUAUAUUCAUGUGUGCACACACCCCGCUCCAGAGGGAAUGCCUCAUGCAGAACAGGAGACAUGCUUGGCUAUUAAAUGGCCAAUGAAUUCAUGCCAUCUGCUUCAGAUUACUAGCUGAGUGACAGCUUCACAUGGGUCAGUGACUCUCAUUAUCCCAACAAGAGGCUGCCAUGUGCCUGCAUGUCAGGAAUUGUGCUUAAUUUUUUACACUGCUGAUUAACUAGCGAUUUCAUCCUCUGCCCAUCUGGGUGAAUUUAGGGGGGAUGGGGACUAGUUCACUGGACGUUUGGGGAAAUGUUGAAUGCUGGAUUGCACAAUGUUUGUGUUUCAAAGACCAUGUGGUGCUAUUAGAUGCUGGCAGAUUCCCAGGGGCUGUGCUCUUUAUCAUGCAACUUAUAAGUCAUUCCUGCUACAGUCUCCCCCCCCAUCCAGAUCCUAAAGCUGGUGAGGACUGAGUGUUCAUUUUACUGUAAAAACUGAGCGUGUUUAUCCCAGAACCUUGCUAUGCUGGGGCAUCAUGUCUCCUUGUUUUUCUUCUCUCAUGGGAUGAUUCUGGAGAGGUGACUAGGAGAUGCAAAGGAACCAGGUGACAUCUGAAUUGCUGAGUCCGCAAAGGGGCCUUUAGGCCAUCCCUCCCAGCUGCCACCGUUGGCUUUUGCUUUUCAGGCUCACUCGCGUGAUUUAUUAAAGAGCCGUGGUUUACAAAAGGAGGCAGGCGUCCAUGUGCACACUAUCAAAACCAGUCCAUAAAUUUCCCUUUUAACAGCUUUUGUUCUGGAGACAUCAGUCCCUUGGCUGGCCUAGGGCUCGUUAAUAAAAAUGAAGCCUUUUUGGAAACAGUUGUUGCUUGUAUGAUACAUGAGCCCUGCAAAUAACCAUUGUCCCCAGUCCAUCAUUAGCAGGUUUUUCCUCUUUCCUUCCCACCCCCAACCAUUGAGUUGAAGCAGAAGUCUCUGUAAUCAAGGCAUGAAGUUUGGUCAGUUCUCAAAACCAGCUAUUCCAGCACUAGCUAGAUUUUUUUUCCAGGCAAAUGAGGUCCUGAGCUCAGGGAUAUGGCAGUGACCUGAAGAAUCUGAAGUAAAGAUAAAAUUAAUAGUAAUUAAAAGACAUGCUUUUUUUGCUAUAACUUCUAUAUCUUGGCCAAGAUAGAAGAAACCCCAGAGGCUCUCUGGAACUGUUUUUAUUCUUCUGUCCUGUAUAGCACUGAAUAUGUUGGCACUUAAACAACCAAUAAUCCAAUACCGGGUUUGGGUGGCUGACUGACUCAGGAAAUAGAUAAAUUGGCUAGGGAGUCUCCUCUUCUAGGAUGCUGGUCUGAAGACAGUAUAUGUCAAUAGUUACUGAGUUAUUACCAGCUGUUGGCUGUUUGGUGGAUCUGUGCCGGAAUGAGUCGGGUCUCAGAACCAUUGCUAGUGGACAUGUGCUCACGACCGCCACAGAGAUUGAUUCACAGAUUUCAAGGCCAGAAGGGACCAUUCUGAUCAGCUAGUCUGACUGCCUGUAGAACACAACCAUAGAACAGUCCCAAAAUAAUUCCUAGAGCAGGUCUUUUAGAAAAACAUCCAGUCUUGAUUUAAAAAUUGCCAGUGAUGGAGAAUCCAUCACGACCCUUGGUAAAUUGUUCCAACGGUUAAUUACCCUCACUGUUAAAAAUGUAUGUCUUAUUUCCAAUCUGAAUUUAUCUAAUUUCAACUUCCAGUUAUUAUACCUUUUUUUCUACUAGAUUGAAGAGUCCAUUAUCACAAACUUGUUCCCCAUAACUGCUGGACGUAAUAUUUCUGCAACAGUUGCACCGGUGCCAAACACACAGGGACAAGAAUUGAAUGGGCCAUGAAGAAAAAUUCCAUUUCACCUCUAUUGGCAAUCCUUCCAUUGCAGAAUGAAAGCACAUUAGUGGGACAGUCUGAAGAACCGCAUGAAGGAAGCCUGCUCAGUUGCUGCGUAUGUUGUAGCUGACAGCUCAGCACCUAUCAUCUUCAGUAUAUUAAAAAUAAGGAAAUAAAUCUGUGGAGCC